UGAGCUUCCCAGGGAAAGAAGAAGAAAAAGAAAGCCAUUAAGAGUCUAGGCUAUAAUUUGAGCAGUUUAAAUUACUGCUCCUUCUAGUAACUGCCUGUGCAGUAUAAAGUGUGAGUGUUUCUUAUGAAAAACAAAACUGAGUAUGAAGGGCUGGAAACUUUUUUAAACCAAGGUGGUAACAAGGGCCAAGUUAAACUCAUUAUCCAGACCUCCUACUACUCAAGUAGACCUAGUUGUGGCCUUAAAAUGUUGCUGGACCCAAGCGGCCUGGCCCAACUGCCCAGUCCCAGUGCAAGACUCAGCAGUAAGUGAUCAUUUCUCUCUUCCUGCUGAGAAAAUCUGAAGGGCAUGUGUCAGGUCCUGGUAUUUCUAAGAGAUUAAAAGGUCAAUUCCCAUGCAGAGAUGUGUAAGUAAGUAUCAAGUUGCAUGCUGGACUGAAAUCUUGUCAGAGGAACAGUAACAAUCAAGCUUCAAGCCUGCUGAA